rnacentral:tRNA from 1 species
GGGCUUGCAGCGUUGCGUGCAAACUCAUAAUCGAUUGGUCGUAGGUUCAAGUCCUACUGGGCCCACCA